GUGUUUGCUCUCUCCUCACCUACCCAUCUCACAGUAGACAUGGAAUCUUGGCUGAAGAAUAUUCUGAUUCUUUCUGCAUUUUGUUGGGAAUGCAGAGGAGACAGUGUGUCACAGCCAAAACAAGAUGAGACUGCUAUCGAAGGAGGACAAAUAACACUUGCGUGUCAUUAUGAAACAGACGAUCCAAGUCCAUAUCUAUUCUGGUACAAACAGGCAACAAACGACUACCCCAAGUAUAUGCUUAUGCGGUUCAAUUUUGGAACUGGGGACAAUGCUACUGACUUCAAGGAGAGAUUUCAUGCCGAUCUAGAUGCCAACUCCAAAUCAGUUCCCUUGACUAUCCAGAGGGUGCAGCUGUCUGACUCUGCUGUGUACUACUGUGCUCUGAGGCCCACUGUGACAACAGGAUAUACAGCCCCCUUACAAAAACAUACUGAGCUACACAAUGACAAUACACCUGUCUGGACAGUAUACCACACCACUUUGAAAUUGACACUGUAACCUUCUCACUACCUCCCUGAUAAUACCAAGACUAGUGGUAGCAGAUGUUGAUAAUCACAGUGAUGAUGAUGAUGAUGAUGAUGAUGAUUAUACAGUAAGUCAUUUUUUAUGCCAAUAAAGCUA